ensembl:lncRNA novel transcript
CAGACACAGAUGGGAGUGUGUCAAGCAGGAAACUGAAGGGAGCUGAUCAUCUUCGUCUCACCCAGAAUCCCAUUUGGUCUGUGUCCUCUUCCCUACUCUGUUUAUCGUGGCCUUGGCUGUAGCAGGGGGAAGAGACAAGUCUGGAAAGAACCCUGCCCUUGGUUUCCAUCUCUCUGCUGAAAUUCCACAUCUAGUCAGGAAUGUGGUAAUGUGUCCGGAAUUGGUGGGUUCUUGAUCUCACUGACUUCAAGAAUGAAGCCACAGAACCUCACGGUGGGUGUUCCAGUUCUUAAACACAGUGUCUGGCGUUUGUUCCUUCUGAUGUUCGGAUGUGUUAGGAAUUUCUUUCUUCUGGUGAGUUCGUGAUCUCGCUGGCUCAGCAGUGAAGCUGCAGACCUUCGUGAGAGACUGGAUUGAAAUCUGUGCAUUGCCAAGGGCAAGAAGCUGAGAACAUGGAGAGAGAG